GUAGGUGGCAAGCGUUGUCCGGAAUUAUUGGGCGUAAAGCGCGCGCAGGCGGUUCUUUAAGUCUGAUGUGAAAGCCCACGGCUCAACCGUGGAGGGUCAUUGGAAACUGGAGAACUUGAGUACAGAAGAGGAAAGCGGAACUCCACGUGUAGCGGUGAAAUGCGUAGAGAUGUGGAGGAACACCAGUGGCGAAGGCGGCUUUCUGGUCUGUAACUGACGCUGAGGCGCGAAAGCGUGGGGAGCAAACAGGAUUAGAUACCCUGGUAGUCCACGCCGUAAACGAUGAGUGCUAAGUGUUAGGGGGGUUUCCGCCCCCCUUAGUGCUGCAGCUAACGCAUUAAGCACUCCGCCUGGGAGUACGGCCGCAAGGCUG
rnacentral:rRNA from 1 species